rnacentral:rRNA from 1 species
CCAACAGGGAUUACCUCAGUAACGGCGAGUGAAGCGGUAACAGCUCAAAUUUGAAAUCUGGCCUCACGGUCCGAGUUGUAAUUUGUAGAGGAUGCUUCGAGCAUGGUCUGGCCUAAGUUCCUUGGAACAGGACGUCAUAGAGGGUGAGAAUCCCGUAUGCGGCCAGGUGCCUACGCUCAUGUGAAGCUCCUUCGACGAGUCGAGUUGUUUGGGAACGCAGCUCAAAAUGGGUGGUAAAAUUCAUCUAAAGCUAAAUAUUGGCCAGAGACCGAUAGCGCACAAGUAGAGUGAUCGAAAGAUGAAAAGCACUUUGGAAAGAGAGUUAAACAGUACGUGAAAUUGUUGAAAGGGAAGCGCUU